rnacentral:lncRNA from 1 species
AGCCAGGUCUGGAGCUGGGGGAGGAGUGGGGGGUGGGUCGAGAAGGGGCCCCGGGCCGGGGUAGCGACCUGCUGAGGAGGGGGGGGAGAGGAGAGGCGGAAGGGGGCGGAGAAGCAAAGCGGGAGGCGGGGGCCUGAGACGGGUCUUGGGCCCCAUCACAAGGCCUCCUUUCCCUCCUUCCCAGCCUCCCAGACCCACAGGCAGGGCGAGAGUCAGGCCAAGGUGGGGAGGAAGGGGAAGGGAGGAGGCUCGCCCCCCCCCCCCAACCAACCUGGCCCAGAGCCCAGGCCUGGGUUCCCAGCAUGCCCCGGGGCUGCCUGGGGCCUGAGGAGGGGGGUGAGGGAAGCGGGGAGGCGACAGUCUUAAAGAUUGUCCAGACCCGAGCAUCUCUCUCCCGCACCCAGCAGGUUUCUCCCCAGAGGGGAAACUGAGGCCCAGCAGGUUCCGGAGUGGUUCAAGGUCACUGCCCCGGGCGUGGGCGCCCCUCCCGUGGGUUCACAGGCUUGCUUUGGGGGAACCGGUAGGCCCCGGACCUUCCCCCCUAAGGCCUGGGUCCCCUCCCCCUCUUUGCAGACCCUAGGGAGCCCCCAAGGGUCAGAGAGCAGACCCAAACAGUCUGGCACCAUAGCAACCAGCCGGCCCCGCCUCCUUAACCCCUGGAGGGCUCAACUCCAGCUGGGGCUAAGAAGGGGCGGGGGACUCAGGGUUCCGGGUAAGGAGCCCCCCACACACACCUAUCCCCCCUCCCCAGGCCCUGGCAGCUAGGGAGACAAAUGCCUGGGGCCCCCGACUCCCAGGUUACGGAGGGCAGGAGACGGGGUGGCCUGCGCUUCUGGGCAGGAGGGCAGGAGGGCGAGCGGACGCUCGGUCAGAGGCAAGAAGCGGCUGGGUGGCCCAGAGCUCAGCCGAGUUUGAGGUCGUGGGAUCUGGGUAAGGGGCUGGCAGGUGGGAGGAGGGGGCCGAGGCCUGGAAUCCUGGCUCCCCAGAGAAACCUGCAAGCAGGGCCUCUCUCCACGACCAGACAUCCCUUGCCCCGGGCGCUGACCCGGGCCCGUCUGGCAGCCCAGACAACCUCCCCCUCCUCCUGGCACCCUCCCACUCACACGGCUCACCCUUGACCCCGCGAAGCCCCGCAGCCCCACUCUGCCCCUCCCCCUCCCUUCCAGCCAGACGUUAACCCUUGGGCCGCCGGAGGCACCUCCAGAGCCAGACAGGCCGUCUCCCACCUCCCCUGCCGCCUCUGGCAUCUGGUCCCCAGUCCCUCACACUCCAGGGUCCCACUGCGUCCUUCCCGUAGGGUCUC